GACGAACGCUGGCGGCGUGCUUAACACAUGCAAGUCGAACGGAAAGGCCCUGCUUUUGUGGGGUGCUCGAGUGGCGAACGGGGGAGUAACACGUGAGUAACCUGCCCUUGACUUUGGGAUAACUUCAGGAAACUGGGGCUAAUACCGGAUAGGAGCUCCUGCUGCAUGGUGGGGGUUGGAAAGUUUCGGCGGUGGGGGAUGGACUCGCGGCUUAUCAGCUUGUUGGUGGGGUAGUGGCUUACCAAGGCUUUGACGGGUAGCCGGCCUGAGAGGGUGACCGGCGACAUUGGGCCUGAGAUACGGCCCAGACUCCUACGGGAGGCAGCAGUGGGGAAUAUUGCACAAUGGGCGGAAGCCUGAUGCAGCAACGCCGCGUGCGGGAUGACGGCCUUCGGGUUGUAAACCGCUUUCGCAUGUGACGAAGCGUGAGUGACGGUAAUGGGUAAAGAAGCACCGGCUAACUACGUG
rnacentral:rRNA from 1 species